rnacentral:rRNA from 1 species
GACGAACGCUGGCGGCGUGCUUAACACAUGCAAGUCGAACGGAAAGGCCCUGCUUUUGUGGGGUGCUCGAGUGGCGAACGUGUGAGUAACACGUGAGUAACCUGCCCUUGACUUUGGUAUAACUUCAGGAAACUGUGGCUAAUACCGGAUAGGAGCUCCUGCUGCAUGGUGUGGGUUGGAAAGUUUCGGGGGUUGGGGAUUGACUCGCGGCUUAUCAGCUUGUUGGUGGGGUAGUGGCUUACCAAGGCUUUGACGGGUGGCCGGCCUGAGGGGGGGACCGGCAAAAUUGGGAAUGGAGAAAGGCCAAACACCCCAAGGGGGGCAGGAGGGGGGAAAUUGGACAAAGGGGGCGAAGCCGAUGGAGGGAAGCCGCGGGGGGGGAGAAAGGCCUUGGGGUGUGAAAACCGUUUGCGCGGGGAGGAAGGGUUAGUGACGGUAAAUGGAAAAGAAGCACCGGCUAACUACGUG